rnacentral:rRNA from 1 species
UACGUAGGGGGCGAGCGUUGUCCGGAUUUACUGGGCGUAAAACGCUUGUAGGCGGCCACGCCAAGUCGGAUGUGAAAUCUCCCGGCUUAACUGGGAGGGGUCAUGCGAUACUGGCGGGCUUGAGGUCCGGAGGGGUGAGUGGAACUCCUGGUGGAGCGGUGAAAUGCGUAGAUAUCAGGAGGAACACCGGUGGCGAAAGCGGCUCACUGGCCGGAAUCUGACACUGAGGUGCCAAAGCUAGGGUAGCAAACGGG